CACGCCGUAAACGUUGGGCACUAGGUGUGGGGUCUUAUCAACGGAUUCCGUGCCGCAGCUAACGCAUUAAGUGCCCCGCCUGGGGNAGGCAACGCGAAGAACCUUACCUGGGCUUGACAUGUACCGAAAAGCCGUAGAGAUACGGUGUCCUUCGGGGCGGUACACAGGUGG
rnacentral:rRNA from 1 species